rnacentral:rRNA from 1 species
GGUUAAGUGACUAAGCGUACACGGUGGAUGCCCUGGCAGUCAGAGGCGAUGAAGGACGUGCUAAUCUGCGAUAAGCGUCGGUAAGGUGAUAUGAACCGUUAUAACCGGCGAUUUCCGAAUGGGGAAACCCAGUGUGUUUCG